rnacentral:rRNA from 1 species
AUUGAACGCUGGCGGCAUGCUUUACACAUGCAAGUCGAACGGUAACAGGCCUUCGGGUGCUGACGAGUGGCGAACGGGUGAGUAAUGCAUCGGAACGUGCCCAGAGGUGGGGGAUAACGCAGCGAAAGCUGUGCUAAUACCGCAUGUGAUCUGAGGAUGAAAGCGGGGGACCAGGCAGCAAUGUUUGGCCUCGCGCCUUUGGAGCGGCCGAUGUCAGAUUAGGUAGUUGGUGGGGUAAAGGCCUACCAAGCCGACGAUCUGUAGCUGGUCUGAGAGGACGACCAGCCACACUGGGACUGAGACACGGCCCAGACUCCUACGGGAGGCAGCAGUGGGGAAUUUUGGACAAUGGGCGCAAGCCUGAUCCAGCAAUGCCGCGUGCGGGAAGAAGGCCUUCGGGUUGUAAACCGCUUUUGUACGGAACGAAAAGGCUCUGGCUAAUACCUGGGGCUGGUGACGGUACCGUAAGAAUAAGCACCGGCUAACUACGUG